CUAUCUUCAGGCCUCGCCUGGUGUUGGGGCGCCACCGACGGUGGGCCCCCAAAGCCAGUGGCGGGCUCGUCUAGGACCCGAGCGUAGUAGCCUGUAUACAUCUCGCUCAGGGAGCCUGGCGUGCUCUAGCCAUCAAGCAACCCCUUCUAAA
rnacentral:misc_RNA from 1 species